CCUACGGGGGGCUGCAGUGGGGAAUUUUGGACAAUGGGGGCAACCCUGAUCCAGCCAUGCCGCGUGCGGGAAGAAGGCCUUCGGGUUGUAAACCGCUUUUGUCAGGGAAGAAAUCUUCCGAGCUAAUACCUUGGGAGGAUGACGGUACCUGAAGAAUAAGCACCGGCUAACUACGUGCCAGCAGCCGCGGUAAUACGUAGGGUGCAAGCGUUAAUCGGAAUUAGUGCGGGUGAUGCGUGAGGAGGCGGUUGAAAUACCCGGGCUGAACCUGGGAACUGCACUUGUGACUGUACGGCUGGAGUACGGCAGAGGGGGAUGGAAUUCCGCGUGUAGCAGUGAAAUGCGUAGAUAUGCGGAGGAACACCGAUGGCGAAGGCAGUCCCCUGGGCCUGUACUGACGCUCAUGCACGAAAGCGUGGGGAGCAAACAGGAUUAGAUACCCCAGUAGUC
rnacentral:rRNA from 1 species